rnacentral:tmRNA from 1 species
GGGAGCGUAAAGGUUUCGACAGGGAGUGUGAGCUUCGGCAAGCGAGCAGCGGCACUGCAGAACCGCUAUAAAAUCCGCAGAUUUCAAAACAAACGACAACACUAAACCUGUUGCCAUCGCUGCUUAAUUAGCGCGAUCGUUCCUUUCGGAAGUACCACGGUCUGAAAGGGGCGUCGAUGAGUGGUGAACGUGAAUGAAGGAGCGUCUUGGCCUUCGUCAUGACUGAAAGACUACCGAAGCACAAGGUUCGUUGCCGGACGUUGUGUGAGGGGAAUCCGUAAUCGGCAACUGCGCUCGGAGAAAACCGUUGUAAGUGCUUUUUGGACAGGGGUUCGACUCCCCUCGCUUCCACCA